rnacentral:tRNA from 9 species
GUGGCUAUAGCUCAGUUGGUAGAGCCCUGGAUUGUGAUUCCAGUUGUCGUG